rnacentral:rRNA from 1 species
CUACGGGGGGCUGCAGUGGGGAAUAUUGCACAAUGGGCGCAAGCCUGAUGCAGCCAUGCCGCGUGUAUGAAGAAGGCCUUCGGGUUGUAAAGUACUUUCAGCGGGGAGGAAGGGAGUAAAGUUAAUACCUUUGCUCAUUGACGUUACCCGCAGAAGAAGCACCGGCUAACUCCGUGCCAGCGGCCGCGGUAAUACGGAGGGUGCAAGCGUUAAUCGGAAUUACUGGGCGUAAAGCGCACGCAGGCGGUUUGUUAAGUCAGAUGUGAAAUCCCCGGGCUCAACCUGGGAACUGCAUCUGAUACUGGCAAGCUUGAGUCUCGUAGAGGGGGGUAGAAUUCCAGGUGUAGCGGUGAAAUGCGUAGAGAUCUGGAGGAAUACCGGUGGCGAAGGCGGCCCCCUGGACGAAGACUGACGCUCAGGUGCGAAAGCGUGGGGAGCAAACAGGAUUAGAUCCCCUGUAGUC